rnacentral:rRNA from 1 species
GGCUAAAACAGCUAGGAGGUUGGCUUAGAAGCAGCCAUCCUUUAAAGAAAGCGUAAUAGCUCACUAGUCGAGUCGGCCUGCGCGGAAGAUGUAACGGGGCUAAACAUACCACCGAAGCUACGGCUGCAUACUUUGUAUGCGGGGUAGGGGAGCGUUCUGUAAGCGGCUGAAGGUGAACUGUAAGGUUUGCUGGACGUAUCAGAAGUGCGAAUGCUGACAUGAGUAACGAUAAUGCGGGUGAAAAACCCGCACGCCGGAAGACCAA